UGCCAGCAGCCGCGGUAAUACGGAGGGUGCAAGCGUUAUUCGGAAUUACUGGGCGUAAAGCGCAUGUAGGCGGAUAAUUAAGUCAGAUGUGAAAUUACGAGGCUCAACUUCGUGGUACGUCUGAAACUGGUCAUCUAGAGUCCGAGAGAGGAAAGCGGAAUUCCUAGUGUAGAGGUGAAAUUCGUAGAUAUUAGGAAGAACACCAGUGGCGAAGGCGGCUUUCUGGAUCGGUACUGACGCUGAGAUGCGAAAGCGUGGGGAGCAAACAGGAUUAGAUA
rnacentral:rRNA from 1 species